ensembl:lncRNA
CUCAUUUGCUUCAGCAAGAGGCUGCGCUGGAGAGUGGACCUUGUCACAUGUGAGCCACCCACAUCAACAGGAUGGGAACUCAUGUGGAGUGCAUGUCAUAAUGUUUGCCCAAUCUCUCAUUGACGGUAAAACACAAGUGGAGGAGUACAACACUGAAAUCACAAAGCUCAGGUCCCGACUUUGCCACUACUUAUUUUCCUCAAUAGGUAAAGAUAAAAUUAGCUGCCUUCUUUUUCUCUAACAUUGGAAAAUGUAACUUGUACUUAAACAAAUUAUAUUUUGCAGAUCGAACUAGGAAGUGCAGUCAGUGCUGGUGUGUGAUUGCAGCCAAAGACCGGGUACACUAUGACAUGUCCUUAGCCAUAUAGAUUGUUUAUAUAAUGGACUUUGUUCAUUUGUUUUUUGUUUGUUUAUUUCUUCUUUUUUUUUUUUAAUUCACAGGUGCAGUGCCAGAAAUGUGGUGCAUACAAGCACAUGCGUUGUUCAAAGUCUGUUUGUGGCAUCUGUAUCUUCUGUGAGAGGCCGUAAAGCCAAACUGCCCGCAAUGAUUCUUGACAGGCCUAAGAAGGCCAAAACUAAAGUAACAGUGUUUAGUGUUCUGAGUGAAGAGGAGGCUGGGGAGCUAGCCCUCGGGUUUGCCGGAAGAUUGGCCUGCGAUGUCACAACAGACAUGGUCUGUAAAGGCAUCGACCAUUCAAGUGCUGAUAUGACAAAACAGACUCUUCUCAAAAUCCAACACAACCUUAAACAUGAGCUGACUGAUUCCUCAACCUUCAGUUUGCUGACACACACCUUUGGCCCCGCUGCACUGGAUUCUGUCAUUUCAUUCCUGUG